UACGGGGGGGGCAAGCGUUGUUCGGAAUUACUGGGCGUAAAGCGUGCGUAGACGGUUAUGUAAGUCGGGUGUGAAAGCCCCGGGCUCAACCUGGGAAUUGCAUUCGAGACUGCAUAGCUAGGGUGCGGAAGAGGGAAGCGGAAGUUUCCGGUGUAGCGGUGAAAUGCGUAGAUAUCGGAAGGAACACCAGUGGCGAAAGCGGCUUCCUGGUCCAGCACCGACGUCAGGCACGAAAGCGUGGGGAGCAAACAGG
rnacentral:rRNA from 1 species